AUCUGUUAACAAAGGUUAACAAAGUAAUAAGCAGAAAAUCGAUCAGAACGAUAUUCUCGCAACAAAAGACAAACAAUGUCGAUGACAGUGAUCACAAGAAUUGUCAAAGAUAUCUACAACGACCCGUUUAAGUGGUCAGCGGUGAAAAACAUAGGAUUUUUCGUAAUAGGCAUCAAGAUAGCCUUGGAAUGCAACGGAAUGAUGCUUAUGCCGCCCAAUCCCGUUUAAGUUUGCGUAGAAUCUAGAAGAGAAUAUUAUAUUAAACUCUACAAAUGCCUCCAUAUCUCAUGCACUGAUCAUAAACAAUCAUCAAAAGAAUUAUACUGAAGUCUGACUGUAAUAGUCAUUUGGACUAUUUAAUUCUACUCAUGCCAUGUAACAAUGUAUAUUUUAUUAUUAAAACAAUGUUACAGAAUUUUUUUCAAUAAAUAUUGUUUCUGUUACCGCUGAA